rnacentral:rRNA from 1 species
AGAGUUUGAUCCUGGCUCAGGAUGAACGCUAGCGGCAGGCUUAAUACAUGCAAGUCGAGGGGCAGCGAGGUUAGCAAUAACUGUCGGCGACCGGCGUACGGGUGAGUAACACGUACCCAAUCUACCUUUUACUGAAGCAUAGCCCCGAGAAAUUGGGAUUAAUACUUCAUAACAUAAUGAAAAGGCAUCUUUUUAUUAUUAAAGCUCAGGCGGUAAAAGAUGAGGGUGCGUCCCAUUAGCUAGUUGGCGGGGUAACGGCCCACCAAGGCAAUGAUGGGUAACUGGCGUGAGAGCGCGACCAGUCACACGGGCACUGAGACACGGGCCCGACUCCUACGGGAGGCAGCAGUAGGGAAUAUUGGGCAAUGGAGGCAACUCUGACCCAGCCAUGCCGCGUGCAGGAUGAAGGCCCUCUGGGUUGUAAACUGCUUUUAUCAGGGAAGAAACGCUUGGAUUCAUCUAAGCCUGACGGUACCUGAGGAAUAAGCACCGGCUAACUCCGUGCCAGCAGCCGCGGUAAUACGGAGGGUGCAAGCGUUAUCCGGAUUUACUGGGUUUAAAGGGUGCGUAGGCGGGUUAUUAAGUCAGUGGUGAAAGAUUUGGGCUCAACCCAAAAAUUGCCAUUGAUACUGGUAGCCUCGAGUACAGUUGAGGUGGGCGGAAUGUGUCAUGUAGCGGUGAAAUGCAUAGAUAUGACACAGAACACCAAUUGCGAAGGCAGCUCGCUAAACUGUAACUGACGCUGAGGCACGAAAGCGUGGGUAGCAAACAGGAUUAGAUACCCUAGUAGUCC